GGGUGCUCGCCGAUCCCGGCAAGCAGGUUUCGCAGUGCCGGUCGGGCCGCCGGUG
rnacentral:ncRNA from 17 species